rnacentral:rRNA from 1 species
AAUUCGCCCUUAGAGUUUGAUCAUGGCUCAGAAUCAACGCUGGCGGCGUGCCUCAGACAUGCAAGUCGAACGCGAAAGCUCCCUUCGGGGAGCAAGUAGAGUGGCGCACGGGUGAGUAACACGUAGGUAAUCUACCUUUGGAUUGGGAAUAACCACCGGAAACGGUGGCUAAUACCGGAUAAUGCAGCGGCACCUAAUGGUGACAGUUGUUAAAGCGGGGGAUCGCAAGACCUCGCGUCUGAAGAGGAGCCUGCGGCGGAUUAGCUAGUUGGUAAGGUAACGGCUUACCAAGGCGAUGAUCCGUAGCCGGCCUGAGAGGGCGGUCGGCCACACUGACACUGACAUACGGGUCAGACUCCUACGGGAGGCAGCAGUCGGGAAUUUUGGGCAAUGGGCGAAAGCCUGACCCAGCAACGCCGCGUGAAGGAUGAAAUCCCUCGGGAUGUAAACUUCGCGAGAACGGGAAGAAUAAGGAAGAGUUAACACCUCUUUCGAUGACGGUACUGUUUGUAAGCUCCGGCUAACUCCGUGCCAGCAGCCGCGGUAAUACGGGGGGACCAAGCGUUGUUCGGAUUUACUGGGCGUAAAGGGCGCGUAGGCGGCCACCGCAAGUCGACUGUGAAAUCUCCGGGCUUAACCCGGAACGGUCAGCCGAUACUGCGGGGGCUAGAGUGCAGAAAGGGCAACU